UGCCUCCGAGCCCGCCGCCGCCGCCGCCGCCGCCUCUACCCAGGCAUUUUACACGUCUUUCAUAUGAAAUCAAGUAUCAAGAAGCUGAGAAUGAAAGAACGUGAACGAGAAGAAAAGGAGAGGCGGCUGUCAGAGGUGGAAGAAACCAUGAAAUUGGCUCUAGAAAAAAUACCCAUCUGCAAAUAAACGAUUCAAGACAGACAAGAGCUGCAGCAGUUGGUAGAGGACUCCUACAGAUGAGAGAUCGCCCCUUCUGCUGCAAGAAAGGCCUCAACAACUGGCUCUGUGCUCAAGCCUUGCAGAGGGAGAUGGCAGAGAGGAAGGCUGCCGGCAAGCAGCACAGGUCAAUGUGGCUACAGGGAAGCCUCAUCCUUUCUCAGAAUGGCCCUACUUGCCCGAUGUCAUGGCUGGCCCUUCAGGACCAUUGAUGGGCUGCCAGCCGCCUCCUCUACCUGGGUGUUGUCUGGGAACUCAAACACUCCCUCCAUCUGAAGGUUUUCUGGGACCUCAACAAACUCCUCCACUGGAGAGUCCUCUGGGAAUUCAACCACCUCCACUCGACUGUCCUCUGGGAACUCAGCCACCUCCUGCACUAGAGAGUCCCCUGAAAACUUAACCACCUCCUCCACUCGAUUGUUCUCUGGGGCCUUAUCCAGCUCCUGCAGCUGUCAGUCCUCCAGGACCUCAUCCACCUACUGCAGCUGCCUGUCUUUCCGGACCUCAUCCACCACCUGCGGCUGUCAAUCCUCCAGGACCUCAAUCACCUGCUGCACCUGUUGGUCCUCCAUGACCUCAUUGACCCACGGCAUGCAUCUGACCUCAUCCACCUCCUGCAGCUGUCAGUCCUCCGGGACCUCAUUCACCUCCUGCAGCUGUCGGUCCUCCGGGACCUCAUCCACCUCUCGAAGCUGGUGGUCCUCCGGAACCUCAUCCACCUCCUGCAGCUGGUGGUCCUCCGGGACCUCAUCCACCUUUUGCAGCUGUUGGUCUUCCGGGACCUCAUUCACCUCCUGCAGCUGUUGGUCCUCUGGGACUUCAUCCACACCCUGCAGCUGUAGGUCUUCUGGGACCUCAUCCACCUCCUGCAGCUGUUGGUCCUCUGGGACCUCAUCCACCUCCUGGAGCUGUAAGUCUUCUGGGACCUCAUCAACAUGCUACAUGUGUCUGUCUUCCGGGACCUCAUCCACCUCCUACAGCUCUUGGUCCUCCCAGACCUCAUCCACGUCCAGCAUGUGUCUUCCCUCCAGGACCUCAUCCAUCUUUUAUAGCUGCCUUCCUCUAGGACAUCAUUUACCUUUUUGUUCUGUGAGGCCUCUGGGACCUCCGACUACAUCUCCACUUAGUAACCUCUGGAUCCUCAGCCACCCCUUCUACCUGGGUGGCGUCUGGCCCCUCAAUAACCACCUUCACAUGAAUCUCCUCGGUUACUUCAAUAAUCUCCAUUUGUGGUCCCUGGGACUUCAGCCACUUCCUCCACCAGGGUCUCCUCUAGUACAUCUGCCACCUCCUCCACUUGGCUGGCCUCUGCUAUCUGAACUCCUCCAGGACCUCAACCAGCUCCCCUACCCAUUGUUGCCUGUAGGACCUCGACCACGACCUCCACAUGUACUACUUGGUAUAUUUAUCUGAACAGUAUGAACUGAGUUGCAAAAUGGAUUCAUCUUUCCCUUUCUGAAUGAAUAGAAAUGUUACAGAUUGUACUGCAGGGCUUUGCACUGGCUGAGGAUGUGGUCACUUUGCUCAAGUUUCUGAGAGUACAAGUCAGUUGCAUUAUUUCCUCAUCAUGACCUUGGCAGAAGGUAUCUUCUGUAGAUGAGGAAAGAGUUUUUUUUCAUUUUAAGGGGUGGGGGCAGAGUCUUGCUCUGUCACCAAGGCUGGGGUGCAGGGGUGCACUCCUGGCUCACUGCAACCUCCGUCUCCAGGGCUCAGGUGAUCCUUCCACCUCAGCCUCCAGAGUAGCUGGGACUACAGGUGUGCAACACCAUGCUUGGCUAUUUUUAUUUUUUAACUUUUUGUAGAGACCACGUUUCACCAUGUUGCUCAGGCUGGCCUCAAGCUCCUGGAGCCAUGCCAUCUGCCCACUUUGGCCUCCCAAAGUGCUGAGAUUACAAGUGUGAGCCACUGUGCCCAGCCAGAGGUUAUUUAUAGAAGCUAGAAAUACAAGUUUUGCAGGCUUGUGUGGAACCUGGGCCAUAUGGCCAGCUCUGUGAGGGAUGAGACCCAUCCCUGGCUGGCAGGGCAUCCUGUGUGCUGCAGCAGAGAGACCCACACUGAAGGGCACAGAGCUUCUGACCAGCCCAAUGGAAACACAAGUGAAGGGACACAGGGUGCAGAAGGAGGAGACAGAAUCUCCUGGGAGUAAACAGGAGGCUGUGGAAGAGAAAGCUGAAGCAGGGAGGUGUGACAUGGGGGGUUGUUGAACUCAGGUAGAGCUGGAAGGCUGCUCCUAGCCAGGCAAGCAGCGUGAGCAGGAGCAUGGAGGCUGCGGUGAGGGCCACACAGAGCUGCCAUGGGAGCUCAGAUACCACAUUGUGCACAGGAAAUUACCACCCCAGCACUUCCUUGUUGCCCUACAGCCUUUAGUCCAUUAUCGGUAGGAAGAUGAUUCUUUCCCUGGGUGCAUGAAGGCUCUAGAUCGGGGUGAAUGAAUGCCUAGAGGUCUGAAAAUUUUAACUUGGUUCUGUCAGGGGAACCUGUCUCCCUGAGUUUUCACGGCCUAAGGAGACUAACAAUGAGGAUGGGUCUGGUUCAGUGGAGCUGCGGCCUUGGCCUUCAGAAUGAGGCCAACUCUGGCUGGAAACUCAAGGCCAAUCCUGAGCUGCUGUGACCUACUCUGAUCUCCUGCACCCUCUCCUUCCCACCCACAACUCUCAGCUUUGCAUCUCCCAACCUUGGCAGGCAAAAUGCUUCCCCUUCCCUGUGUCUUUGCUGCCUAAGCCCAGACACCAACUCUCAGUAGAGCUCAGAGCCCCAGCUUUCUCAGAAAUGAGCUGGGAAUGAUGCGAUUAUGAGGUCAUGGUGAGGACAGGGAGACCAAGCUCAUAAGGAAGGCAUCUUGCAAAAUAGCUGGUAGAUGGUAGAGCCUCACCCCUCCCGCUGGUUAAAUGAAAAUAUUUCCACUCAGAAGAUCAGCAAAAGGUGUUCAUUGAAGUUCAUUUAAUAAACCUUAGGGUGUAGCAGCUCAGGCUCUGGGAUUUCCAGUUUCUCUUUCAAAAGAUAAGGGAAAGCCCCUGUCUCCAAGAUUAGAAUUCAGAUCCUUACGAGAUGAAGAGAUCCUAAAAAUGCAUACACAGUUAAACUCUGAGAUUUGUAUCUGUGAUCUGUGGAUAAUUAUUCUCCAUGACAUACAGACACAGAUAUGGCCACACACAGAAGUAUUCAGCAGGGGCACAGAUAUUUCAUAGAAGACAAAAUGUAUAUUGGGCAAAAGAAGGUCACCUGGAAAUAAACCGAAAUCUUUUUACCUUA